ACUUGAUAUGUGUACCUUGCUGUAAAAAGUGGACAAACAGCUAUAUGUAGGCUUUAGGUGAGCAAUCCGUGAGUUUAGGUUGCCCAUAAAGGACUUGCACACAUUU